AACGAACGCUGGCGGCAUGCCUAACACAUGCAAGUCGAACGACACCUUCGUGUCUAGUUGCGCACGGGUGCGUAACGCGUGGGAACCUUCCCUUAGGUUCGGAAUAACUCCCCUACAUGGGUGCUAAUACCGGAUAAUGUCUUCGAACCAAAGAUUUAUCGACUUUGGAUGGGCCCGCGUUGGAUUAGCUUGUUGGUAGGGUAAAAGCCUACCAAGGCGACGAUCCAUAGCUGGUCUGAGAGGAUGAUCAGCCACACUGGGACUGAGACACGGCCCAGAAUACUACGGGAGGCAGCAGUGGGGAAUAUUGGAAAAUGGGGGAAAGCAUGAACCAGCAAGGCCGCGUGAGUGAUGAAGGCGUUAGGGUUGUAAAGCUGUUUUACACGGGAUGAUAAUGACAGUACCGGGAGAAUAAGCUCCGGCUAACUCCGUG
rnacentral:rRNA from 1 species